rnacentral:lncRNA from 1 species
GAAGGCUUCCUGACACCUGUCACCACCCCAUUCCGAUUUCAGUGUUAGCAGAAGAACAGAAAAGAUAGUCUAUGGAAACACAGAACUUAUGAGAAUCUAGUUGUUAAAGCAGAAGAAUAUUUAAAUGUAAUUAUAUCCUGAAAAGGAAUUUUUUUUUCUAAAAUGAAAAAGAGAGCUGAGAUGACUUUACUUUGAAUUAACAGAAUUAUCUGGGCAGCUGUUUUUUGCAGCUAGCCAAAUAAAAUAAGAACUACUUUUAAUGAAGAGCUCACAGUACUGAAACAAAAGAAUUGCCAGAAAUCUGAACAAGGCUGAGAGAUAAGAAGAGGAGAAUAAUAAUUAAUUCUAUCAAAUACCAAACUGACACUAAGAAACAGCAAAAAAAGCUUGUAACAGAUAAAAUGGAGUUCAAGUCAAAAAGCUAAUUACAUUUGAUGAAUGAACACACCUGAUGAAGUUUGUAUUAGCUAAUCAGUUUAAGCAGAUCAAAAGGAUGCUAAAUGUUAAUUUAAUUUGAGAAAUAUCAACAGGUAGCCCAUCCAACACUGAAUGAUAAAAACAGACUUGAGAGGCACACACGGCAAAUUAAGCAGAAGAUUCAGGUAAAGUCUGUUUGAACUCUUGAAAUUAAAAGGAAGAGAAAUAGUUCCAAAAAAAUAAUUAAUGGGACAGACCUUUUACAGCUAAUACUUAAUACUUGUAUCCGAGAAUACAAAUAAUUAAAUGCUCAUAAAUAUUGUCAAAACUGUUUACUGCCCAUAGAUAGAAGUCUUAAUGGCUACCACCCCUUUAACUAGUUGAAAAAACAGUGUUUGAGUUCCAGAGAAGCAAGCCUCGACCCUUGUUUUCUGUCAGCUGGGAGGAAACUCUGGCAGAGGAAGUUCCUACCUCACCGGAGGUGACACAUCACGGUUGCUAGUUCCUGCAGAGUUUGUGGUUUCUCCUCACAGCUGGAAUAGUGGCUGAUUUACAUCUCCAUGUGCUAAAUGAAGACAGAGCAGGCCUGAUAAGGCCUUAGGACAAUGAACAGAUGAGAUAACUCUUUCUUCUUUUGUUUUUAAAAUACAAAAUGCAACAACGCUAAGAUGAUAAGAUGAAGGACAACGAUGACAAAGAACGAUGAGGAUGGUCAGGGAGAAGACAGACAAGUAAGAUUUAUUUAGUUAUUUAUUUAUUUUAGGAAAAGCUCCAAAAGGAUCCAAGAGGUGUUUCCUCAGCAGCGGCUGAAAGGGAACUGAGGAUU